ensembl:lncRNA
AUUUUUUUGUUAUUAUUAUUAUUUUACCUAAUGAUUUAAGCCAUCGUUUCUAGGCUAUGAAUCUAAAUGGAAUGACAAUGUGGUGAUACAAACAGAAUUUAAUUAGAAAUGUCGAGAUAUUAUUAUUAAUAAUUGUUUUUUCUGAGAGCAAGGGACAAUAAACAUACCAUCUCGUGACAGUAAUGGAGCAGCUGUUCGUGAAAGUGCCGUACGCCACUGAUGGUUAUUGUCUUUAGAUGUUUUUCUCUGUGGGUUCGGUCAUCGAUCCUUGUAUUACUGUGAGGGAGACUCGCUGUACCUCCCCAGGAAGCGCGCGGAAAACACCUUCAGUCUUCAGUCUCCACGCGCAGAUCGGAGCGCGAGCGCAUCUCUCUCAUUCCUUCAGGCGGGAAGCGCGCGGGUCUGAAGAGACCUGCUGCAGCAGUCGCUAAUAAAACUGAUAUUUUUUGGAAGCACGCCGUCGAAUAAGUGAUGAAGUAUUUAUUGCUUACUUCUCAGGCUUUAUGACAAAUGUCAUUGGAGUAAGUUCACGGCACCUCUGGAUAUAUACUGUUGCUUCGGCAGAAUAUCAAGGAAUAAUGUGGAAAUAUAUCAGAUGCCAUGGUGGAUGACAUCCGACAAUGAACAUUUUUAGAAGCAAUUCCAAGCUUAUCAACCAAAGACAAAGCCAUUUGACUAUAACUGUGUGCUCCACCCUGAUGUCAAGGCCUUGUCCCUCCACCCGAGGUCCUAAACCUCCUGUGGCACCAAAACCAAGGCUAGCCUCUGAGGUUAGCCAAAGCAUUGUGGGCAAUGGGGACAUUACAUCCUCUGACAGACUGGAGCUGAACCAGGAUAACGAAUCAGAUGUCACACAGGAAGAAGAAGAUGCAUCCAGAGAAAACUGUACAGAUGAUGACGUGGAAAACAACUCAUCUGACAAAGAGUUUAUUGUAAAUUAUGACACUAACCAUGACACAAGUUGCUAUAAUGAAAUAGAGGAAGAAUUAAAAAUGGCUGUGGAUGAAACCGUGGGAGAGGAUGAAGGUAAAAUUCAUCAAGCCACUGAAGUACAGCAUGCAGCCUCUUCAGAUUUAUCGGAAGUGGUCUAUGAAAUUUUUGAUUCAGCAAAUGAGGACCUCAGCAAAAACACUGAUGAUAUCAAGCCAGCUGAGAAUGGAGAAGAUGCUUAUAAUGUACUUGAGGACACCUGUGCAUUUUCUGAGAAUGAGACACUGAAUAUAGAUCAGCCUGCAAGUGAAUCUCAAAGUCUGUAUGAGGAGUUUGAGGAACCACCAUCUGACCGUUUUUAUUGUGCCAGUAAUCAGCAUGAAGAGGACACUAAAGCAGAUGUAAAAUGCGUUCAUGAGGCACAAGAAGAUGAGACUGGACAUUCUUCAAAGGCUACAACCUGCAGUCAACCCUCACUAUGUGAGGAAUACCCUUAUGAUGUCAUUGGCACACUGGAUGACAACAGUACUUGGCAAGCUGAACGUGCUACGAAAGACCCAUCUGGACGUUUCAGGUUUGCAGAGGAGACAGAAGAUGCAUUUGAGCCCUACUCUGUCAUAGAGGUUGUGCCAAGUGAUUUGACAUGUACCUCUGAUCCAGAAGCAAGAUGCACUGAUGAUGAGUCCAGCAAUGAGAAACCAAUGGACUCUGAGAUCGCAACAGAGGGAACGUCAAACCAAGAGCCUUACUACGUAUCAUCAGAUGAUGUGGCAGAGUUAGAGAAGGAACGGGCAAAAUUAGAAAAUGAUGUCUCUCAUCCUGUUUCUGAGGGUCAAGAGAUGGCAAAAAAUGAAGAAGUGAAUGACUAUGCUGAUAUCAAAGACAACGAUGGUGAAGAUCAGCAGGUGGAGUGUGUGUCAUCUGAAGAUUACGUUGAGAUAGGAGAUGAAGAUGAGCCGAUAAACAUGGAGAGGAAAACCAAGGGCAAAAGUAUAAGAGAACGAUCAGUAAGAAGGGGUCAAGCUCUCUUAAGUCAGAGGAAUAGCUGUCAGCCACGUCUCAGACUUUGCAACAUCACUGUUCCUG